GAAGCAAUGAUUACAAUAAUUUCAUGAUUACGUCAAACAGAAAACUGAAUCAAUUCAUAACUCAGUUGUCAGAAAUUUGCGUCAAUACUGUGAAUACUAAGAGAAGGAUAAAAUUUGAUUGUUUCAGCGUGAACCCAUUAAAAUUUAAACGAGAAAGAAGAAAAUCUUCUUAAAACCACCAGCGUCAGCAACUGGAGGAGUGUACCUGCCCUCAUAAUCAGGUCAAGGGACACGAAAAGAAGAAGGAAAAA
rnacentral:misc_RNA from 1 species